rnacentral:rRNA from 1 species
GACAGAGGUGCCGAGCGUUAGGCGGAAUCACUGGGCUUAAAGCGUGUGUAGGCGGAUCCGUAAGUACCUUGUGAAAUCCCACGGCUCAACCGUGGAACUGCUUGGUAUACUGCGGGUCUUGAGCCACCUAGGGGCGAGCGGAACAAGUGGUGGAGCGGUGAAAUGCGUAGAUAUCACUUGGAACGCCAAUGGUGAAAACAGCUCGCUGGGGGUGUGCUGACGCUGAGACACGAAAGCCAGGGGGAGCAAACGGG